rnacentral:rRNA from 1 species
UACGUAGGGUGCAAGCGUUAAUCGGAAUUACUGGGCGUAAAGCGUGCGCAGGCGGUUUUGUAAGUCUGUCGUGAAAUCCCCGGGCUCAACCUGGGAAUUGCGAUGGAGACUGCAAGGCUAGAAUCUGGCAGAGGGGGGUAGAAUUCCACGUGUAGCAGUGAAAUGCGUAGAGAUGUGGAGGAACACCGAUGGCGAAGGCAGCCCCCUGGGUCAAGAUUGACGCUCAUGCACGGAAAGGCGUGGGGAGCAAACAGG